CAGCACGCCCAGGCACCUGCUGGACAACUCCUGCCAAGCAGAACCAAGCAGGAGUCGGGGGAGUUGCCCUUUAAAAAAACCAUUUUCAGUGAUCAUUUACCACACAGUAAUGUUGUUUUGAUUUCUGAAAGUGUUUUUUUUUUAUAGUUUUUUAAAAACUUUCAAAAGAACUAUAAGAGAAAACACUUUUAAAAAUCACGGCAACAUCUCACCCUUUUUCGGUUAAGAAAGAAAAAAAGAAAAUGAAGAAUAUUGAAAAAGAAAACACUUUUAAAAAUCAAGGCAACGCAGUAAGAUCUGCGCCCUGAUCCACCCCAGAUCCACCCCAGGCUGGGCCAGCGGGGUGGGCAGCACAGGGCUCUCACCCUGGCACACAACAGCCCGUUCCUGCUGGCACACACCCGGACUCAGCAGCUCCUUCCCAAGCAUUCCCUAAUCCCAGCAAAUGGGCUCUGGCAGCAGAAGAGCACACAGCUCCGCCCCGGGCUGCCCGGGCAGGGGGAUCCCCAUCCCUGCAGGGAUCUCACAGCCACCCUGGGGAUGUGGCACCUGCGUGUUGGGAAUGCAGGAGAUACUAAAACUACAAACCUACUGUUCUAACUCCCAAAUCUAACCCCUCACAACUCGUGACCCUCUCUGAGAGCCCAGCCACAGCCUCCACAGCCUCAGCACCAGCCUGAAAGUAACGUGGGAUGGUUGUGAUGGUGAAUGAAGAAUGGAAAAAUUAG